rnacentral:rRNA from 1 species
GGGAAACUUACCAAGGCCAAACAGAGGUGGGAUUGACAGAUUGAGAGCUCUUUCUUGAUUCUUUGGGUGGUGGUGCAUGGCCGUUCUUAGUUGGUGGAGUGAUUUGUCGGCUUAAUUUGACUCAACACGGGAAAUCUCACCAGGCCCGGCUACUGGAAGGAUUGACAGAUUGAUAUUGAUAUUGAGCAAUAA